UCCCUGGUGGCUCAGAGGUUAAAGCGUCUGCCUGCAAUGCAGGAAACAAGGGUUCGAUCCCUGGUUUGGGAA
rfam:Ovis aries breed Texel chromosome 17, whole genome shotgun sequence.